UACGUAGGGUGCGAGCGUUAAUCGGAAUUACUGGGCGUAAAGAGUGCGUAGGCGGUCCCGCAAGUCCGCUGUGAAAGCCCCGGGCUUAACCUGGGAAUGGCAGUGGAAACUAUGGGACUUGAAUCUGGCAGAGGGGGGUGGAAUGCCACGUGUAGCAGUGAAAUGCGUAGAGAUGUGGCGGAACACCGAUGGCGAAGGCAGCCCCCUGGGCUGAGAUUGACGCUCAGGCACGAAAGCGUGGGGAGCAAACAGGAUUAGAUACCCUGGUAGUCCACGCCCUAAACGAUGACAACUAGGUGUUGGGGAAGCGAUUUCUCAGUACCGCAGCUAACGCGUGAAGUUGUCCGCCUGGGGAGUACGGUCGCAAGAUUAAA
rnacentral:rRNA from 1 species